rnacentral:rRNA from 1 species
UCGCGAAGAAACUUACCUACCCUUUAACAUGUAUGGAAUCCUGCUGAGAGGUGGGAGUGCCCGAAAGGGAGCCAUAACACAGGUGCUGCAUGGCUGUCGUCAGCUCGUGUCGUGAGAUGUUGGGUUAAGUCCCGCAACGAGCGCAACCCUUGUCUCUAGUUGCUACGCAAGAGCACUCCAGGGAGACUGCCGGUGACAAACCGGAGGAAGGUGGGGAUGACGUCAAGUCCUCAUGGCCCUUAUGGGUAGGGCUUCACACGUCAUACAAUGGUCGGAACAGAGGGUUGCCAAGCCGCGAGGUGGAGCCAAUCCCAGAAAACCGAUCGUAGUCCGGAUCGCAGUCUGCAACUCGACUGCGUGAAGCUGGAAUCGCUAGUAAUCGCGGAUCAGCAUGCCGCGGGAAUAC